GACGAACGCUGGCGGCGUGCUUAACACAUGCAAGUCGAACGGAAAGGCCCCUUUGGGGGUACUCGAGUGGCGAACGGGUGAGUAACACGUGAGUAACCUGCCCUUGACUUCGGGAUAACUUCAGGAAACUGGGGCUAAUACCGGAUAGGAAUCCUUGCUGCAUGGUGGGGGUUGGAAAGCUUCGGCGGUUUUGGAUGGACUCGCGGCUUAUCAGCUUGUUGGUGGGGUAGUGGCUUACCAAGGCUUUGACGGGUAGCCGGCCUGAGAGGGCGACCGGCCACAUUGGGACUGAGAUACGGCCCAGACUCCUACGGGAGGCAGCAGUGGGGAAUAUUGCACAAUGGGCGGAAGCCUGAUGCAGCUACGCCGCGUGCGGGAUGACGGCCUUCGGGUUGUAAACCGCUUUCAGCAGGGGCGAAGCUUGUGGUGACGGUACCUGCAGAAGAAGCACCGGCUAACUACGUG
rnacentral:rRNA from 1 species